rnacentral:rRNA from 1 species
AGUGAACGCUGGCGGCAGGCCUAACACAUGCAAGUCGAGCGGCAGCGGGUCCUUCGGGAUGCCGGCGAGCGGCGGACGGGCGAGGAAUACAUCGGAAUCCGCCCUGUCGUGGGGGAUAACCUAGGGAAACUUAGGCUAAUACCGCAUACGACCUACGGGUGAAAGCGGGGGAUCGCAAGACCUCGCGCGACAGGAUGAGCCGAUGUCCGAUUAGCAAGUUGGCGGGGUAAAGGCCCACCAAGGCGACGAUCGGUAGCUGGUCUGAGAGGAUGAUCAGCCACACUGGAACUGAGACACGGCCCAGACUCCUACGGGAGGCAGCAGUGGGGAAUAUUGGACAAUGGGCGCAAGCCUGAUCCAGCCAUGCCGCGUGGGUGAAGAAGGCCUUCGGGUUGUAAAGCCCUUUUGUCCGGGAAGAAAUCGUCUGGGCUAAUACCCCGGGCGGAUGACGGUACCGGAAGAAUAAGCACCGGCUAACUUCGUG